rnacentral:rRNA from 1 species
GUUUUUUAGUUUUAUAUAUUGAAAAUUUAAUCUGCCCAAUGAUGUUAAAAUUUAAUGGCCGCAGUAAUUUAACUGUGCAAAGGUAGCAUAAUAAUUUGUCUUUUAAUUGAAGUCUGGUAUGAAUGAUUGGAUGAGAAAAUUUCUUUCUUUAUAUUUAUAUUAAAAUUUAAUUUUUAAGUGAAAAAGCUUAAAUUUUUCUGGGGGACGAUAAGACCCUAUAGAGCUUAAAAUUUUAUUUAAUAUUAAUUUUCUAGUAGUAAUUAAAUUUAUAUUAUUUUAAUUUUUUUUGUUGGGGUGAUAAUUAAAUAAAAUUAACUUUAAUUUAUGUAAAUCAUUAAUUAAUGAAAAUUUGAUCCAGUAAUACUGAUUAUAAGAUAAAGUUACCUUAGGGAUAACAGCGUAAUUUAUUUUUAGAGUCCAUAUCGAUAAAUAAGUUUGCGACCUCGAUGUUGGAUUAAGAUAAAUUUAGGGGGUAGAUUUUCUAAAUUUAGGUCUGUUCGACCUUUUAUUCUUACA